GGGCCCGCACAAGCAGUGGAGUAUGUGGUUUAAUUCGAAGCAACGCGAAGAACCUUACCAGGUCUUGACAUCGUGCGCAUAGUAUAGAGAUAUAUGAAGUCCUUCGGGACGCAUAGACAGGUGGUGCAUGGUUGUCGUCAGCUCGUGUCGUGAGAUGUCGGGUUAAGUCCCUCAACGAGCGCAACCCUUACGAUUAGUUGCUACGCAAGAGCACUCUAAUAGGACUGCCGUUGACAAAACGGAGGAAGGUGGGGAUGACGUCAAAUCAUCAUGCCCCUUAUGACCUGGGCUACACACGUACUACAAUGGUGAUCAACAGAGGGAAGCAAAGCGGCGACGCGGAGCAAAUCCCUAAAAGUCAUCUCAGUUCGGAUCGCAGGCUGCAACUCGCCUGCGUGAAGUUGGAAUUGCUAGUAAUCGCAGAUCAGAAUGCUGCGGUGAAUACGUUCCCGGGCCUU
rnacentral:rRNA from 1 species